GCAGUGACUUACCUAAUAAUAAUUGAAGACGGUACUGAGUCAGUCGCAGCAAAAACUGGAAGCAACUUCUUCUCCCAUACGUUGUUGAGAGAGACAUGUGCUGAAUUGAUUAUUCCUCCCAAAAAUAGGAAUUAAUUAUUCAUCUAAAAGUUCAGUUAUUAUUAUGAUGAUGUCCCCUCCCUCCCUCUCGUAUUUAUCAGUUAUCAUCUGCAACUCUCUCUCACGCUACAUUCCUUCAUUAUUUUACUAACCCAAAACUAUGGUUACCCCAAACGAAACGGUGCCCUGCGACUUCUGCAAUCACCGAAUUGCCCUUCUCUACUGCCGAGCUGACUCCGCCAAGCUCUGUUUGUUGUGCGACCACCACGUCCAUUCUGCCAACCUCCUCUCCCGCAAGCACCUUCGCUCUCAGAUCUGCCAUAACUGCAGCGCCCAACCGGUUUCCGUUCGGCGUGCUACUCAUAAUUUGAUGCUUUGUCAAGACUGUGAUUGGGACACCCACGGUACUUGCUCUGUCUCCGCCGCUCACGAUCGCACCCCUGUCGAAGGUUUUUCUGGUUGUCCCUCCGCUCUGGAUCUGGCUGCGGCUUUCGGCUUCCAUCUCCAUGACACCAAACCGUCGGAUCAGAGCUGGAACAGCUGUCACCAACACUUGAUGAUGCCCAUCGCCGAACCAUGCUUCUACGGUAUGAGCGUCCAAGACUUAAUGGAACCUUACGACAGUUUAUGCAACGGGAAGACGUUGAAGAAGCAGAAUCACGGGAGUGGAGGAAAGUACAAGCAGGUUCUCUAUAACCAGCUUGCGGAAUUAAUGAAACGAAAUUGGAUGGGCGACGUUGUCGACGACUAUGACGAUGGAGGAGGAGGAGGUGGGGAGAAUGAUCUAGUGCAGAACGCGGAACCAAACGCCAACUUCUUGGCUCAACAACAAGAUAUGCAGCCGCAAGAGCAAAGGCAAACGCCUGAGAGCAAUCGCAUUGUCGAUGGAGGAGAGGUGUUGUGGAAUGAUAAUCUAAAUGGUCAAACUCCUCAGAUAUGGGAUUUUAAGUUAGGCGAAGCCCAAUUUGAAGAAGUUGGGAAUGAGGGAAGUGAUGGUGUUUUCAUGAUUAAGAAUUUCAAUCAACUUGUGAGAGAGACUUUGAGUGCAAAAUUACUGGGAGAUACGUGCCACUUUAACUACCAUCCACAAGAUUAUAUGGAUUCAAUCAAUAUGAACUCAAGUAAUCCAGGUACAAGUCAGGGGGCUGCCACAUCCGAGAGCAACAACCUACCGAUGGCAAGGCCGUCAACAAGUUCAGCUUUUGGAGGAACCCGUGGCUCCAGCAGUUGCAGUGAUCUUGUGUUCAUGGAACAAGCUUUCCUUGUGGGGAGCGACCAAGGAAGGCUAGCUGCAGCUAGCAAGGCUGAUCUUGAGUUGCUGGCCCACAACAGAGGCAAUGCCAUGCAACGGUACAAAGAGAAGAAGAAAACACGAAGGUUGUUUUUUCUUUUUUUCGUUUGGUUCUUUUCAUGUUAUCAUCUACCUAAUAAAUUGGUUUUAUCAAAAUGCCUUCUAUUAUUGAAAUUGGAGGUGUGCCAUGAACAGGUAUGAUAAACACAUACGGUAUGAAUCGAGGAAGGCAAAAGCAGAUAGUAGGACGCGAGUGAAAGGUCGAUUUGUGAAGGCUACCGAUUCUCCUGAUGGUUAAAGAUGUACUUGACUGUUGUAUAAUAAUUCAUAGGGUAUUCUGAACCAUGGUAAAGCGGAGGCCGGGACAGAGGAUGUUCGGCUUGUGGCUCGUCUCGAUGCGGUGAAGUCGUCUAAAGCAUAUUAUGGGGCUCAAAAUUCGAUGUUGGCACCGAACUCAAGGUCAUGACUUGGUUUACUUCUCUCCCCUUUUAUCUUCGGAUUCAAAGUAAUAGAGUUGAUUUAAGCAGUAAACGGUUCAAGCAACUUGUAUAUAUGCUCAAGCAUAAGCUAAGCUUCAAAAAUUUUGUCUAACGCUUUGGUUUUUACUCAAUAACAGAACAAUGGUAUUUGCUUUGCCAAUAUAGUUGCCUUCCAAAUUUUGCUCUUGUUUCAUGGAAUAAGGUUUGCAUAUCAAGUUUUUCUCUGGCUUUGCUUUCAAUAUUUUGCAGAUUUGAACAUGAACAUGCGAAGACCUAAAUAUCCGAUGGCACCGUGAAAAACCGAAAUAAGCGAGAGGCAGGCGAAAGGAAUUUAAAGAUGACUUGGGAUUUGGGGCUUCAGUUAAGCUUUUGUCUAAAGGAGCCUUCAGGUAAUAGAUAGGGUACAAGAUCUGUAUGCGAGUAGAGUAGAGGUUAUGUCUUGAAUUCAUCUCCAAGUUCUAUAGAAGAUUUGAUUGCUAAGUGGCAAAACCUGUCACUGAGACUGUGCAGCAACUUUUACUUUUUAAGGGUUUUAGGUAUGGAUUUUAAGAA